CAUUGAAAUACCGGUUCUCAUAUGUUCAUCAAAGUUAAGCAACAUCGGGCAUGAUCAGUACCUGGAUGAGUGACUGCUUGGGAAUACC